GAAUAAGACUUGGAAGAAAUUAAGGACUGCUAAUUCUUAAACCCAUAGUUCAAAUCUAUGGCUUAAUCA
rnacentral:tRNA from 1 species